rnacentral:rRNA from 1 species
UACGUAGGGGGCAAGCGUUGUCCGGAUUUAUUGGGCGUAAAGAGCGUGUAGGCGGUUAGGUAGGUCCGUUGUGAAAACUCGAGGCUCAACCUCGAGACGCCGAUGGAAACCAUCUGACUAGAGUCCGGAAGAGGCGAGUGGAAUUCCUGGUGUAGCGGUGAAAUGCGCAGAUAUCAGGAAGAACACCAAUGGCGAAAGCAGCUCUCUGGGACGGUACUGACGCUGAGACGCGAAAGCGUGGGGAGCGAACAGG